UCUCUUGUGGUGUAAUGGUUAACAUCUCCGGUUUUCAUUGAAAACCACGUUGAUCUCGGUACUGAGUUACCCGGAAGCUCCGGGUUCAAUUCCCGGCAAGAGAA
rfam:Cyphellophora europaea CBS 101466 unplaced genomic scaffold supercont1.1, whole genome shotgun sequence.